GAUGAACGCUGACAGCAUGCUUAACACAUGCAAGUCUUUGGCGAAGCUGUGCUUGCACCGCCUAGCCAAGGCGGACAGGUGAGUAACGCGUAAGGAACUUGCCCUGCAGUCAGGGAUAACAGACGGAAACGACUGAUAAGACCUGGUAAAGUCAGGCGGACUCAUGUCCAGCCUGAUGAAAAGAGAUGCUGCAGGAGAGCCUUGCGUCCUAUUAGCUUGUUGGUGGGGUAACGGCCCACCAAGGCGAUGAUAGGUAGCCGGCCUGAGAGGGUGGACGGCCACAAGGGGACUGAGAUACGGCCCUUACUCCUACGGGAGGCAGCAGUGGGGAAUAUUGGACAAUGGGGGCAACCCUGAUCCAGCAAUUCUGUGUGCACGAUGAAGGUUUUCGGAUUGUAAAGUGCUUUCAGCAGGGAAGAAAAAAUGACGGUACCUGCAGAAGAAGCGACGGCUAAAUACGUG
rnacentral:rRNA from 1 species